rnacentral:rRNA from 1 species
AUACGUAGGGGGCGAGCGUUGUCCGGAAUGAUUGGGCGUAAAGGGCGCGUAGGCGGCCUGUUAAGUCUGGAGUGAAAGUCCUGUUUUCAAGAUGGGAAUUGCUUUGGAUACUGAUGGGCUUGAGUGCAGGAGAGGUUAUCGGAAUUCCCGGUGUAGCGGUGAAAUGCGUAGAGAUCGGGAGGAACACCAGUGGCGAAGGCGGGUAACUGGACUGCAACUGACGCUGAGGCGCGAAAGUGUGGGGAGCAAACAGGAUUAGAUACCCUGGUAGUCCACACUGUAAACGAUGAAUGCUAGGUGUAAGAGGUAUUGACCCCUUUUGUGCCGGAGUUAACACAAUAAGCAUUCCGCCUGGGGAGUACGAUCGCAAGAUUGAAACUCAAAUGAAUUGGCGGGG